UACGUAGGGUGCAAGCGUUGUCCGGAAUUAUUGGGCGUAAAGAGCUCGUAGGUGGCCUGUCGCGUCGGCUGUGAAAACUCGGGGCUCAACUCCGAGCUUGCAGUCGAUACGGGCAGGCUAGAGUUCGGCAGGGGAGACUGGAAUUCCUGGUGUAGCGGUGAAAUGCGCAGAUAUCAGGAGGAACACCGGUGGCGAAGGCGGGUCUCUGGGCCGAUAUUGACGCUGAGGAGCGAAAGCAUGGGGAGCGAACAGG
rnacentral:rRNA from 1 species